rnacentral:lncRNA from 1 species
UGCGACAUGUCGUAACACGUAAAUUUUGAUUGCAAGGGUAUGUUGAAUGUAAAAGGAAGUUUUUCCCCUCUUGUAUUUAGAAAUAUGCGUAUGGUGAUACAUGUAUAACUCAUUAACCAAAUAUAAUUAAGACCUAUGGUCUUUUGAUUUGAGGUCCUUGGUUUAAGACUUUCAAAUUAAUCUCAAGGUCAUAGCUUAAUUUGACGUUUUAGAUUUUGACCUUUGCUUUUACCUCAUAUGUAUACAUGAUAAAGCCAUGGACAUUUUGGCAAAAGGUAUCAAACCAUUUAACCUUGAAAAAACAACCGGAAA